CAGGGGUAAAGUCUUGGGAUAUAGCUGUUCUCGCGGCUUCUCCGGUGUCUCAGCGGUAAACAAUCCGCCUGCCAACGCAGGAGGUGCAAGAGACUCAGGUUCAAUCCCUGGGUCGGGAAGAUCCCCUGGACGGAGGGCAUGGCAACCCACUCCAGUAUUCUUGCCUGGAAAAUUCCCUGGACAGAGGAGCCUGGAGGGCUACAGUCCAUGGAGUUGCAUAGAGUCAGACACGACUGAGUGCACACACACAGCGAUCACCAGGAUGAGGAGGAGACAAACUCUCAAGUGUUUUUAUUACUCUUGCCAGACAGUUGAACUCUUCGGAAGAACAAGAUGAUUAUUUCUUUUAAGGGCGCUUCCAGAAUUUACAAAGCUGGAAUUGUUCAUGUACCCAGCAGUGGAGCGGACAUACUUUGACUUGGCACCCGUUUCUAUCAGCUUCUACUGUCUGGGGUGUCCUGCCUGG
rnacentral:lncRNA from 1 species